UACAGAGGUCUCAAGCGUUGUUCGGAUUCAUUGGGCGUAAAGGGUGUGUAGGUGGCGCCGUAAGUCGGGUGUGAAAUUUCGGAGCUUAACUCCGAAACUGCAUUCGAUACUGGCGUGCUUGAGGACUGGAGAGGAGACUGGAAUUCAUGGUGUAGCAGUGAAAUGCGUAGAGAUCAUGAGGAAGACCAGUGGCGAAGGCGGGAUCUCUGGACAGUUCCUGACACUGAGACACGAAGGCCAGGGGAGCAAAACGGG
rnacentral:rRNA from 1 species